AUUGGAAUGGAUGUGUUGCAUCUGAAUUCUAUGAUAACAAAGAUAWAACAUGUUGUUUGAAUUUCAAGGAAGAGGAUCCUUUCGAUCAGGAUGAUUGGGAACAUUAUGCAAAGAUGACAACAGAAAUUGGUGAGCAGCUGCAAGAUGCAAGUUAUGGUUAUGGUUAUGAUCUCUUUGUCACAAAUCCUAAGUGUGUUGACAAAGCAAUCAAGGAGAAGACUUGCAAUGCCCUUCUUAUGAGGGUGGUUCAAUUGUUGGAAACUCCUUAUGUGAAUCUCAUAAAUUAUGCAUCAUAGGUAUUGCAUCUUUUUCUGAUUUCAUUUCUGUUCAUCGUAUCCCGAUUAUCUAGAUCCUCCAUCGUUWACAGAGGUCAGUUUGUUCUUCAGUUGUUUUAUGCAGUUUUGAGAAAUGAUUUCAUUUGAUGUGGCCAUCACUAAAUGUAAACUCGAUUGAAACUAAGAAAUUAGAAGAAAYAGUAACAGUUUGUUGCUAUUAAUUUUUUAUAUGGAAAUAUUAUAGAUGUUUCUGAUUUUCUUAUUUGGGUUGGUGGUUACAAGAACAAAUUGAAUAACAUUGGGGUGUGUUAUGUAACAGGCCAAAUUUGAGCUGAAGAGAUUUGCAAGCUUCAUGAGGUUCUAACAAGUUUGCAAGCUUCAUGAGGUUCUAACAAGUUCUGGGAUGUUUAUCUACAAGUCCAAAGUACUAUUUUAGGGAGCAUGUAAAUUUUCUUAAGGUAAGAUCAAGACUUUCGUGGCUG